UCUCGCUGUGGCUGGGCGUUUGCGCUCACUCACCUUUUGUUGCCUGCGUGCCAUAUCCGUGGGUUGUUUGGCAUUGAAUGGGUACGCUAUACAUCUCAACACAAAUACAUACAUCUGUAGUUUACUUUUCCUCUCCGCUUCCUCUUUCUGAAGUCUUUCCUGUUCAUUUUUCACCUGGUCUUCGACAGGAGACUUUUCGGCUUGUGCUUGGUCCGCAGGCGGUCGUUUCUUAUGUUUACCUCCUUGACCCGAGGAAGUCGGGGGGUCUUUUGGAACUUGAGUGUCCUCGUUAAUUUCUCCCCCCGAGUCUUCGCUGGAGGAUGGGUCUAACAUGUUUCGCACCGACACAGUGUUCUCCAUUUUGAUGUGAGCAGCAGCUUCUCCCUUGGUGAGCAGGAUGCAGUUCCAGGGACUCCACUCCCACUGGCAAUCCCACCUCACCAUUACCAAGUCAUGCAUGUCGCUCCAUGCACUGAGGGCCGACUGGGCCCCCCACACUACAUCUACCAGGCCAGACGCAGCUCCCUGUCCUGCCUCAGCUGGUCCGUCAUCCGCUUGGCCUGCCAGCGCCGCGUGUACAUCUGCAGAGUGAUCACCUAUAGGUGGGGGUAAAGGUGUGA